AAUUCUUGCUAGGCAUCCACACAAACAUCAUGCAGCCAAAGAGUAAGUUGGGAUCAUAGUACUGGUCUGGUGUUGUCUCAUUGGAUGUAAUUUACCACUGGCCAGCCUCCAAAUUCCCACACAGAA
rnacentral:snoRNA from 1 species